AGAAUCAACGCUGGCGGCGUGCCUAACACAUGCAAGUCGCACGAGAAAGUGGAGCAAUCCACGAGUAAAGUGGCGCACGGGUGAGUAACACGUGAAUGAUCUACCUCCGAGUGGGGAAUAACUGAGAGAAAUCUUAGCUAAUACCGCAUAAUACCCACGGGUCAAAGCAGCAAUGCGCUUGGAGAGGAGUUCGCGGCCGAUUAGCUAGUUGGCGGGGUAAUGGCCACCAAGGCGAUGAUCGGUAUCCGGCCUGAGAGGGCGCACGGACACACUGGAACUGAAACACGGUCCAGACUCCUACGGGAGGCAGCAGUGGGGAAUUUUGCGCAAUGGGGGAAACCCUGACGCAGCAACGCCGCGUGGAGGAUGAAAUCCCUUGGGAUGUAAACUCCUUUCGAUAGGGAAGAUAAUGACGGUACCUAUAGAAGAAGCCCCGGCUAACUUCGCGCCAGCAGCCGC
rnacentral:rRNA from 1 species